UCACAAGUGUUUCAUCCGACAAACACUUCUUCAGGUUGGAUAUGUGAAAAACGUUAUGUACCGCACUCAGUUCUUCAGGCAGGUUCAAUCUAUAAGCAACCUUACCGAUCUUCUCGGUAAUUUCGAAUGGUCCGAUAUAUCGCGGAUUAAGCUUGCCCCGUUUACCAAAGCGAACCACACCCUUCCAGGGUGAGACUUUAAGUAGAACCCGGUCACCGACCUGGAAUUCCAAUGGUUUCCUACGCUUAUCAGCGUAGCUCUUCUGACGGUCACGAGCUGCCGCCAUGCGUUGUCUGAUCUGGGCAAUCUUUUCCGUUAUACGUGAAAAACGUUGUGUACCGCACUCAGUUCCUCAGGCAGGUUCAAUCUAUAAGCAACCUUACCGAUUUUCUCGGUAAUUUCGAAUG
rnacentral:lncRNA from 1 species